rnacentral:lncRNA from 1 species
CUUUGGAUAUCUAUCUGAAUUGGGAGAACAUAGAGAUGAUGUUGAACCAGGGUGCUCCCCCCGAUGAUCUGAACCAAUUUGAAUCUGGUGGGAACAUCUGAAUCAAAGAGGAAAUUUUCUGAGUCCGUAAGUAUGAGCUGUGUAAAAGUUUAAAAAGCUUUAAGGUUGCUCUAGUUAUUUAAUUAAUAGUGUUGGCUGUAUAUCCUGGAUUUCAUUGGUUGAGGAGUU